GGGGUCGUAGCUCAACUGGUUAGAGUUCCAGACUGUCGAUCUGGUUGUUGCGGGUUCGAGUCCCGUCGAUCCCGCCA
rnacentral:tRNA from 1 species